UUUUUGGGAGACAAAAAAAAAAAAAAAAAAACACUUCCUUCAUUUUGAACUUGGAUUUCUCUUUCAGCUGAACAUUUGUGAAAGCAGCCGUUCCCAGAGUUGGAAAGUUCCAAAUCCCCAUUUGGAGCUGAGUACAUACAUUAUUGAGUCAGUUGUGACACCACCUUAUAGAGAACACACAGUGAAUUUUGGAUUUUCUAAGUACCUUUCCUCCCUGUAAAGAAGUACCCUUCCCCCACUCUUUUGGAAACAUCUCAGUCUGUAUUGGAAACAGAGGAUAUAAUUUAUUUUUAUCACCAUUCCUGUCAAACUGGCCAACAGCCACAGUUUUCUGCUUUCAGAUGUAGCAAGAGGCAGGGGAAUCACAGUGAAGCACCAUUUAUGUCAGUGCCUCCUCCCUCCUCAGUUUUCUUAUCUUAUUUUCUUGGCUACCUACUGUGCUAUCUUAUCACUCAACAGCCUUGCAAAACUCUGCAACUUGACCCCUCCACAGACAGAGGUGACCUGCUUAGACCUCCCUGCUCUCUACUGCUGCUUCCUUCCUCGCAGAGCAAGUUGCUCCCUCCUUUGUUAUUUUACAGCUCCUUUCUCAGUGCCUGUCCUACCUCCUCACUCCUCCUUUUCCCUAGCUCAUUACAUUUCUUAGCUGAGCGUGCACUCAGCUGUGUGGCCUCCUUGGGGUAUGCUUAAUUUCUCACUGUCCAGCCUGCCCUUUGAUGUCUGAUGAAGAGGGAUACAUCUUCUUUUCCAUCUCUUCACAUGUGCCUAUUAAUUACUCUCUUCAGAGAGGCUGUUCACUGAGUAUCACUGUGUUUACAAUUGAAUGCAGUUAAACAUUUGUUCUUCACAGUUUCCUCUCUUCUACACCACCCACCCGGUUUCUUCAUUUCUUCCCAAUUGUUGCAAAAUGGAUGUCUCCAAAUCACUUUAUAAAGUCACACAUGCAAUGUACUUACUUUCCCACGUCCACCCUGCUCUCAAGCACUAAUUUUGCUUCACUCACAGAGAAGUAAAGUAAGUCUUUAUAUUGGUAUUUCUAUCUCCAGUUGUCUAAUAAAAAAGCAACAGUGAAGCUUAACAAUUUGACCUUCCUGUUGCACAUAGCCUUACCUUGUGAACUGGAGAACGCACAGACAGAUCUGUAAGCUUCAGACUUCUGGCCUAUGAAGAAAUAAUAUGAACGAAGUACAAAAUAGAGAAGUAUGCCAACUGAAAUGAGAAGGGCAUAAACUGUGUAUGUGUCUUCCUGGGAUUAAGGGCCCUUGGGCAGAGGGGAUUUUAAUAGGAUGAGGUGCCUAACAAUUACUGUAGCAAACAGAAGGGAAGAAUAACAUGGUUGUAGUGCAGCAACUCAGAUCUGAGAUGAAAAUUCCUUCAGAUGUCCUUCUCAUUGUUCCAUAUGGGGCUUAAAACAUUACAAAAUAAUGUGAAAUAAAUUUAAAACAAAUGUGGGCUACAUUAUCUUUUUCUUUUUCCCAGAUUAUUGUCAAUCCUUUGCCAUUUGUAUUUGAGAAAAGGAAGGAAGCAGAUACCUCAAAGAAUAUGGAAAAUGAUUUAUGGCAGGGUGUUUGAAGCUCACCAUGUGUGAGCAUGAGUAGGAAGGAGGGAGAGGAUGGCUGUCAGUAGGAGGGGCAUACAGCUGCACAGUUCGACAGUGAAACAACCAGAAUAUCCCCAGAUGACUUAAUUUGUGUCUUGGCAUAGCAUCUGUACCUGUACAGUUAGAUAUGGGUACACAAGCUGCCUGUUGCUUUCCAGAUGCAGCCUCUGCUUUUAGCACCUAUUACAAUACAGAAUUUAAGCAUGGGAACCGAUCAGAAUUUGGGCUGAAAUCUUUUAAGGUUUGUAAGUAGCAGAGGCAGGUACUUGGAACCUGAAAGUUUGAAGCUUUCUUGUAAGCGAUGUAGUUUGGAGACUGCAUCUCAGGCCAUGGAAACUGGAGGGAGGCAGGGCAGUGCAGACUGAACGAGAGUGGUGGCUCAGGAAUACCUACAGAGAAAGAAGACACCAAAGCUGACAGUCAGGAAAAUAAAACCAUUUGAACAGGAUGGAGUGGCACAGGAACAGUCUCACCAAUGUACAUUUGCAGAACAACAUUUGCUCUGUUCUUUGAGAUGCAGUAGAUUGGGAGUUUGGAUCAAAACAAAUAAUCAACUAUUAAACGUUUUGGUUAUUUGGUAUCUAAGAAACAUACAAAAUAUGGCCAGUGGUUACUUCUGAUAAGCUGGUGCUUCCAGUACUGUUUAUCUGCUCAUCUGUGGGUGCUGGGGAAUAAAAGGCUGAGCAAUGCUCUUUUACUGACAGCUCACUCCACAGAUGAAUUUAUAACUUUGGUGUAGAUAACUGAUUUUUAUGAUGUUUACUACAGUCAUUAAUGUUGAUCAAAUUUCUUUGGUCAUAUUUGAGUAUUAAAGGCUAAACUACUUUUCCACCACCAGGAUUUCCUUUUCCUCUUUGCAAGCUGCAUAGAGAAGAUGUGCACUAGUGCACAAUUAUAUCUCAACUUCUACAAGCAUAAUGAACCACUGAACUUAAUGAAUGUAAACAAGUAAUCUAGAUCAGUGUGUUCUGGCAUUCCCCAUGUCUUCCUUAGCCAUUAAAAUAUAGUGAGGGCAGACAGAAAAGGCCUCAGCAGGUAAUAAGAGUUGUACCAAAAAUCCACCUUACCAGGUUAGCAAGCCGUUGUAUUUGUUUUCCACACAAGUUUACUAUGAUGUCCAUUUACUUUAAGUUGGAUUAUUUUUUUUUUUUUUAAGAGCUGGACUGUUGUGUUUUCCCAAACAAAUUUAUCUUAAUAUUUCAGUGCUGUCAGUGCAAAGUGAAAGGAGCAGCAUUUGUGCCAUCUGUAUGACCUGCACAGGUAUGUCUCAUGCUUUUCUCAGGAAAAGCUCAGGACUAAGAGUCUGUGUCUCAUGUAGAUGAACGUAGAAUUUUGAGUUAUACUGCAAAUUAUUCUCUCAUCUGUUCAAUCACUUUUAGCAGCAGCUACCAUUCCUACAGAUGUAGCCUGUAUUACGUUCCUUUUGCCUCUAUGCAUUUAGGAGGCACUGUUAAAAACAGAGUGGAUCUCUCUAGAAAAUGAAAGGGCUCUGAUGUUCUCAUCUCUCCGGUUUACCUGAAAUAUCCAGACUGCCAAAAUACUCAGCACAGCCACUGACUUUCUCACAGAUCUGCCCUCCAGGAUCAGUUCUGAGCAACAUUUUUAGAUUUCUAUCAGAUUUGUUAUUUGAUAGCACUUUAUGAUUUUUUU
ensembl:lncRNA